UACGUAGGGUCCGAGCGUUGUCCGGAAUUAUUGGGCGUAAAGGGCUCGUAGGCGGUUUGUCGCGUCGGGAGUGAAAACCAGGUGCUUAACACCUGGCCUGCUUUCGAUACGGGCAGACUAGAGGCAUUCAGGGGAGAACGGAAUUCCUGGUGUAGCGGUGAAAUGCGCAGAUAUCAGGAGGAACACCGGUGGCGAAGGCGGGUCUCUGGGCAGUAACUGACGCUGAGGAGCGAAAGCGUGGGGAGCGAACAGG
rnacentral:rRNA from 1 species